ACUAUAUAUCCCGGGCUCCACGAGUAGUGUAUGAGGAAUGCGUUGACGAGAGUCGACAUUCAGUGAGCACUCGUCCUCGGCCCGGCGUUGUUCUAAACAGCCCGAGGCCUCCCAUUGAAUGCGUAAACGAGCCUGGAGUGCCUCCGUCAACCUCAGCCCACCCGGUUUUAGAUACACAUGGGAAGAUGUGUUUUGGGGAGGAAGAGGAGAUGAGGGGCGUGCCCACAGUUAGCCUCGCUAAUCCGGCACGGGAAAAGGGUGGAAGGGGAGACGUUCUCAGCUGAGGAACCGGCCUCUAGGAAGGGAAGGUUAUGGGUGGAGCGACGGCUGCUGUGCAUUAUAAGGUUAGGUCCAAAGAAACCUGGGUUGCAGAGAGCAUCGAGAUGUGAUGGGACCUGACUUGGGAAGACAGUGUCAUUUACCAAGCAAGAGUGAUGUGUCUGUAAGAGGAGGACCCUCAUGAUUGAAUCCACUGACAGCAGUACUGCUCAAGCCCUGGACCUGCAAGCCGUCCUGUGGGCUCAAGAAUCUGGGUCGGCAGGGGCUGGGAUGCCUCUCAACUAAGUUUCCCUGCUUCUGACUCACUGCCCCCUCCUCCCAUACACGGAGAACAAAAGGGCCAGAAUCGGGCUGCUUGCUUCCUUUCUCAGGGAUAGUAAUUGGCCUUCGAAAGUUCAGAUUCAUAACUCGCUUUUUCAGUUGGGUACAGGGAGCUAAGCCAUCUUUAAAAAUAUGAUAAUGCAGUUAGAAAGCCGAGUCCUGAUUGGUAGGCUGAUGAUGGCAUGAUUUGAUUCUCCCAAAUCAUCUUUGGAAAACGGUGAGCCCUACAAUAUGCUUAUCCCUUGUGCAAUUACCCAGUGCCAGGUCCCAGAGGCUGCAGAUGGGAGCCCAGAACUAGUCAGAUGAUUCUUCUAGAAGCUUGUGUGUGAGAGAGAGAACAGAUAAGUAUCCCCAUCCUCUCUCCGUUAGUCCACUCUGGUAUGAUGCGUCCAAGAAGUUGUAAAUAACCUUUCCAGAGGUGAGGGGACAGACCCUGAGUUGGUGCUAUGGAAAUGCUGAAGCACCAGCAGUGACCAGUACUGAAUGCCCACUUUACCCCAGGAGCUGUGUUACCACCGCUUCCCACUGCAUAACCUGCAGAGACAGGAACAAGGACAAAAAAGGGCUGAGAUUGGAACCCUGCAGGGACUUGGGGGCGGGGGCUGAUUGCACACUGGCUACAAUGAAUGAAUCAGCAUCUUCCUGGGAAAUGCAGGCAGGCAGUCAUGCAAGGGACCCGCACGUCUGCACCCUGGCUCCAAGUCAGGGGACAGAUAGCAGCCUCAGACUUGGGAUUAUCAUCAUUAUUUCAAAGACGACAGAAACAGUUCAUCUACAAAAAGUUAAAAGCAGACAAAACCUGCUUGUUUGUUUGUUUUUCUCUGAACGUGUUUGUUUUCAAUACAGUAAGAAUAGGCACACUUGAGUAGCUGCUUGCUGCACAGAGGCUGCUGAGACAUCUAAGUGCAUCAUCCCAGAGGCUGGCCAGACAGGGAUGAUGGGACGAUGGGGAACAGAGCUUGUUUGAAGACUACACCAUUUGGGCUGUUAGGCGCUGCUGGAGGACACAGCUGGCAUUUCACCUCACUGAAGAACGCUUUUGGAUGAAGCUUGUUCCAGGAUCCACCUCUCUUUCUGUCUUGGUUCUGUGUUAAAUGGGCCUUAGGCCUACUUCUUUAAAAUGGUCCAGGAUGAACAUCUGUUAAAUCGCAGCACUAGAGAGGCAGAGGCAGGAGCAUCACAAAUCCCAGGAUAGCCUGGGCUACACAUGAAGAUUCCGUCUCAGAAACAAAGCAAAGCAAAGCAAGGUAAGAAAGAGCAAGAACCCUGUCACAUCCCCAUAAGCACCAUAUCUCUACUGCUCCUUCUGGUAAACUCCUUGGAAAUCAGUGCAACGAACCCUGCCGUGAACACUUCCAGCUCUCCUUCCCAGUCCUUGUGUUCCCAGAAAGUGUUGUGGUCAGUGUCACCAACCCUCCACACCUGGCCUGGGUCUCCCUCACAGCCAGGCUCUCCUGAUCUUCCGCUCCUUAUUCUCAAGGAGGGCGUGACCCCAAGGCUUGGUGUUCAGCUCUCUUUGGUCUUCAACUAGCAUCUCCGAAGCCUAACCGUGGAGUGCGGCUGUACCUGCUGGCUUCCCAAUGUAAGAGGGGCACUAGGGUAUGCCACAGCUGUUGAGUAAGUGUUCUGGAAAAUUCCAGGCUUAUGGGGGGGGCGUGUUUUAAUUCUUGCAUCUGCUCCUUCUGCUUCCUUUCCCUCUUUUUCUUCUUCUUCCUCCCGCUCCCCUUCCUGGCCCUCCUUAUCCUGCUUCCUCUGCUUCUUGUACUGAGGGCUGAACUCAGGGUCUUGUGCAGGCCUGGCCAGAGCUCUGGCCCUGACCUGCAUUUCCUCCACGCUCGCCCUGCUGUCUCUACACUUGUUCUAUCAAUCGUAGAGGAAGAGUGUUGAUCUCUUGUGGUGAUCAUGACGACUUUGUUUCUUCUUGCAGUCCCAUUUGUUUGCUGUGACUUAAUCAGCCACUCCUCCUCCUGAUGACGGUGAUAAUGAAGAUGAUUUUUUGUUUUUUUUUAAAGACAGGGUUUCUCUGUAUAGCCCUAGCUGUCCUGGGACUCUUAUUUGUAGACCUGGCCUCAAACUCACAGAGAUCCACGUGCCUGUGCUUUUCAGGCGCCAGGAUUAAAGGCGUGCGACAGUCUUCUGAUUUUUUAGUAGCUUCUUCAUCAGGUGCUCAUUUUCUUUCUUCUGGCUUAUAUGAGGGGCGCUUUGGGAGCAUCUGGAGUGUAAACGCCUUCUAGCGGGUAAUGGGGGCUGAGGAUCUGUGGCUUCGCAGGCUAGACCUCGGCUGUUUGUGUGAGCCUAGCAUUGCACCAUUGCCACUCCCCUGGGGGGUUCAACACCUUCUAGGACCUGGAGGAUUUGGCCCCUGUUUUAAAUUUCUUCCCCCCCCCCCCGGGUGGUAAGCGGUCUCCUGUCUCCACAUAUUGCAGCUUUGAGUUUGUUGAUAGGAGGGCUAUCCCCCUGUUGUAGGCUUUGGCUCCCAUCAGUAAAUGGUCCCAUAUCUGAGUUGGGGAGUGGCUCAUCCUUUAAGUGUGGCUGUGAGGAGAAAUAAGUGUGGCUGUGAGGAGAAAAUCUCUUUCAUAAUUCCUUCACAAUCAUGGAAGGGCACUUCUCUUCAGGCAAAUAUGUGGCUGUAUGACAUAGCUGCCAUCUUCUUGGAUGGCACCAGGCUCUCACACAAACACACACACCCACACACACACACAC